UACGUAGGGUGCAAGCGUUGUUCGGAAUUGCUGGGCGUAAAGGGCGCGUAGGCGGCCUUCUAAGUCGAACGUGAAAUCCCCGGGCUCAACCCGGGAACUGCGUUCGAGACUGAUUGGCUAGAAUCCGGGAGAGGGAUGUGGAAUUCCAGGUGUAGCGGUGAAAUGCGUAGAUAUCUGGAGGAACACCGGUGGCGAAGGCGGCAUCCUGGACCGGUAUUGACGCUGAGGCGCGAAAGCCAGGGGAGCAAACGGG
rnacentral:rRNA from 1 species